rnacentral:tRNA from 1 species
GCCUGAGUGGCGAAAUCGGUAGACGCAGUGGAUUCAAAAUCCACCGUUAGAAAUAACGUGCCGGUUCGAGUCCGGCCUCAGGCACCA